UGGGAGAGGAAAGGGGAAAUGACGUCACAAGUCAACCCGGAAAACGGCACAAACAGAAGUUGGAGCGGUGAGCUUUCUUUACCUCGCGACAAGAUGAAGUGCCAUGGAUGUCAAAGAGCUGACGAUAUCCAGAACACAGUUAACGAGAUGUUCUGGCCAGGAAGCUGUGAAAGAGCCCCGCCUCUCUUUGCAGGACACCAUGGCCACAAUAACAGAACUACGCAUCCUCCUUGUAACAAGCAGCAGGACACUUUCCAACAUUGCCAACAGAGAGUCUUCACAAAACCUACAUCAGGGUCUUCAGGUCAAGCCUUGUGAUGCUCACGGUGAAAACAUUUCAGCAAUACAAGCUACAGUCUUCGCUGUGCGAUGACUAGUUUGGAAGGCGUGUCUGCUCCACGAGCAGUUAGACUGCACACAGGUAAACACACACACACACACACACA